GACAGAGGUGCCGAGCGUUAGGCGGAAUCACUGGGCUUAAAGCGUGUGUAGGCGGCCCGUUAAGUGCCUCGUGAAAUCCCCCCGGCUCAACCGGGGAACUGCCGGGCAUACUGGCGGGCUUGGGUCGCUCAGGGGCAGACGGAACAGGCGGUGGAGCGGUGAAAUGCGUAGAUAUCGCCUGGAACGCCGAAGGUGAAAACAGUCUCUGGGGGCUACCGAGGCUUGGAGCACAC
rnacentral:rRNA from 1 species